rnacentral:rRNA from 1 species
CAUUACCGAGUUAUACAACUCAUCAACCCUGUGAACAUACCUAAAACGUUGCUUCGGCGGGAACAGACGGCCCUGUAACAACGGGCCGCCCCCGCCAGAGGACCCCUAACUCUGUUUUUAUAAUGUUUUUCUGAGUAAACAAGCAAAUAAAUUAAAACUUUCAACAACGGAUCUCUUGGCUCUGGCAUCGAUGAAGAACGCAGCGAAAUGCGAUAAGUAAUGUGAAUUGCAGAAUUCAGUGAAUCAUCGAAUCUUUGAACGCACAUUGCGCCCGCCAGUAUUCUGGCGGGCAUGCCUGUUCGAGCGUCAUUACAACCCUCAGGCCCCCGGGCCUGGCGUUGGGGAUCGGCAGAAGCCCCCUGUGGGCACACGCCGUCCCUCAAAUACAGUGGCGGUCCCGCCGCAGCUUCCAUUGCGUAGUAGCUAACACCUCGCAACUGGAGAGCGGCGCGGCCAUGCCGUAAAACACCCAACUUCUGAAUGUUGACCUCGAAUCAGGUAGGAAUACCCGC